UCUACAUCUAUCGCAUACGAAUCAGUUGCCACACUUUUUUUAAAAAGGCGCCUGCAACUCCAGUCUCUCCCGAUCUGUACCCCAUCGUGGCUUCGUCUCUCCCGAUCUGGAACCCUCUCGUGGCUUCAUCUCUCCCCACCCCCUCCGGCCAGCCAUGGAACCCCGAUCUGCCGCGGUGGCCGGCGCCGGCGUAGUCUGCCCCAGUGACUCGCAUGUCUCCUCUCUGCCUCUGCAGCACCCCGCUCACCCCCACCCCCCAAAAUCCGGGCCAUCUCCUAUAUUCCCCAUCUCCUCCGAUCCCGACCUCCGCAAGUACGGCAUCGACACAUCUCCUGCAUCUUCCUCUAUACCAGUCGUCGCACCACCCACCAUCACUAUCUCCUCCCUGUCUCCUCCGCCCCUCCCCCGUCUCCUUUCAGCAUUGUAAAAGGAGCACGAGGUCAAAGGGGGGCAAGAUCUGAGUGGCUGGAGGCUGAUGCCUGACGGGACACCAUGCACUAGGGACAAUCUCUGCUCGUUUAACACCAGGUGCUACCUCAAACUAACGCCUACUCCGAGCCCGCAUUCGCUAGCUACAGCCGUGGCCAACCAUUGCCCACAAUGGCUUAGGCUGAUGCCUGAUGGGACACCAUGCUUAGAUGAGGAAUGCACGCCGUGGAAGUAAUCUGUUUUACGGUUCCACCCUGAACGGCAGCGGGCUUCCGAGAUCCUCGCCUGUCGAGUUGGUAGAUGCAGCUUCUUGGAACUGUUGAAAAUUGGCCUCCGGUGAAGAAUAACAGUGCGCUGAAUAUCUCAACUAUGUAUCAGGCACCACACAUGUUUUGUCUGUCUAUUUCUAUGCCAUUAUUUUUCUUCUGGCUUUGGUUGCUUUGUUAGUGAAUGGGCCAGUGAGGGGUUUACUCUUAGAACUUCUAAAUUUUAGUUCAAAUCAUGACCUGAAGUUUGGACAUUUCACAAACUUGUUUUUAGUUUGCAUCCAAUGAUUCCGUAUAUUAAGUUUCUGAACCUAAUUAAGUGUUUGCAUCUUAAAAUACACCCACCUAAGUUUUUAAAUUGCAGCGAAAAAAUUAUAAAAUAUACAUGUUGCACAUUGAGUGUUGGAAAUUAAAGUGAAGGUAUUGACUUACAUUUUAAAUACUUGACAUACUUUCUGUGAACUUGCAUUGAGUUUAUAGAUUCUAAUUUUUGUUAUUAACUUGGAAAGUCUUAUUACUUCAGGUCUUGAAUCCCUACAUGGUGAUCCUAUCCUGGUAAACAAGUACUUAAGAACAAUUUUUGGCCAAUGUUAACUUUUUUUGGCUCAUGGUUCAACAUGUUUCCAAAUCAGAUAUGGAAGACAAGUACUCCAGCCGCUGAUGAAAGCGGCCCAGAAGCACACAUAAUGACGGACGUGGUUUUGAUCUAUAGAGCAUUUGAGGAUCAAAUGAGAUGGAGAUUCAGUUCUCUAAUUUCUGUUUUGGUUCAGUUUUUUCACCAUUUCUACUCAAGGUGGCGAAGGGUUUCCUUGUGAUCGGCGCGGCACCAAUCUUCUGGGUGUUAUGGAAGACCAAGAAUAAAUCCUUCUUUAAAUGUGUUCGUCCUGGAGAUCCAACCACUGUAUUUUUUUAUGUUUGUCAGUUCUUAACAUCUUGGGCAACCUUUGCAGAAAGGGGCUCUUUAAGGACUGUUGUGACAGCGAUCCCGUAAGCUGGCGAUGGUGGUGUAGGAAGUGUAUGGGCGUCGACAUAGCUGGAACCAAUAAAUUGUCGUCCUCCUUUUUGUGCUUUCCUGUGUUAGCCUAUUUGGGAUUCUAUGACCAAUUUCUUUUUUCUCUGUAUGAGAGUUGGCUGUAGUUCGUCAAUUACUGGUCGACGAUGCUGAUGCUCAUGUUACCAAGGAUAUGACGUAAGGAGUAGUUGUUUAUGCCUUUGUGUUCUGUUUGGGUGGCUUAUACCUGGCCCGUACGCUGGUGUGUGUGCAUGUGUAUACUGGAAUGAUUUCAGCAACGAUAUUGGGCAUGUAAGCUACUUUUCUUGGAAAAAAGUGCAACUACAUGGCAAACAUGACAGAUGUUAA